rnacentral:lncRNA from 1 species
AUGCAGGUGUGUAUAUGCCUUUCAAAUACUUGGUUGGAAACAGAAGACUGUUCCUGUCUUGCUCAUAUGGGCACCCCUAAGCAGCAAGAGUGGCACCACCAAACUUCCCCGGGAACUACAUUCAACAUCUCAGCAUUAAGCCAUCAUAGCUUUGAACUGCAUCUCGCCUGCCCCUGGCUCAGCGCCUGGUGCCAACAGAACACCUUUCAGGAUCCACAGCAACGCAGACAACGAGUCCAAGAUCCCGGCCUCUGCUUGGAACGGAACAGUGUCAUGGCGGAGACGACGGCCUUUGUCUUGCUGGGUGUGAAAGCAUCCGCUGUGCUGGCUCCACUGCGGCAGAAUCAAGUUUAA